rnacentral:rRNA from 1 species
GACGAACGCUGGCGGCGUGCUUAACACAUGCAAGUCGAACGGAAAGGCCCUGCUUUUGUGGGGUGCUCGAGUGGCGAACGGGUGAGUAACACGUGAGUAACCUGCCCUUGACUUUGGGAUAACUUCAGGAAACUGGGGCUAAUACCGGAUAGGAGCUCCUGCUGCAUGGUGGGGGUUGGAAAGUUUCGGCGGUUGGGGAUGGACUCGCGGCUUACCAGCUUGUUGGUGGGGUAGGGGCUUACCAAGGCUUUGACGGGUAGCCGGCCUGAGAGGGUGACCGGCCACAUUGGGACUGAGAUACGGCACAGACUACAACGGGAGGCAGCAGUGGAGAAUGUUGCACAAUGGGCGGAAGCCUGAUGCGGCAACGCCGCGUGCGGGAUGACGGCCUUCGGGUUGUAAACCGCUUUCGCCUGUGACGAAGCGUGAGUGACGGUAAUGGGUAAAGAAGCACCGGCUAACUACGUG